rnacentral:lncRNA from 1 species
GCUUCUCUUAAGUCACAAUAAUGUCCAACAUUGUGACAUGACCAAGAAUUCUCACAACCUCUUUUCCCACCCAUUCAAAGUUCUAACUGAAAGUUAACUUCCAAUGUUACCUCCCUCAUGGACUAGAUAGCUCCUGGUGUAUGUCUCCCACAGACUAGAAGGAUGUAGUCACUGCUGAAGCAAAAAGCAAACCAGCGUGGGCUCCUCAACAACCAGCCUCUCCUUCAUAAGAUGUAAAAAGCCAGGCACAGGCCACCCACCCACAACCUACAGGUUUUCUCAGGGCCAUAUCCAAGCUCUCUGCCAGCCAGGUCCUUUACCUGUUGUAGCACGAUCUCACAGGGUGAGUCCACCUGGCCCUUUCUUCCUUUUCAUGUACCUUCCCCAGCUCCCAGAUCUGGCCCAAGCCCCACAUCUAGU